rnacentral:rRNA from 1 species
UACAGAGGAGCCAAGCGUUGUCCGGAUUGACUGGGCGUAAAGCGCACGCAGGCGGUCGGGCGCGUGGGGUGUGAAAUCUGGCCGCUUAACGGCCAGGCGCCAUCCCAUACGGCUCGACUGGAGUGAUGCAGAGGUCGAUGGAAUUGCCGGUGUAGUGGUGAAAUGCGUAGAGAUCGGCAGGAACACCCAGGGGGAAACCAGUCGACUGGGCAUCUACUGACGCUGAGGCGCGAAAGCUAGGGGAGCAAACGGG